rnacentral:lncRNA from 1 species
CAUGGCCUGCACUGCUUCGAUGAGGCCUCUGACCUGCUGAACCAGUAGGUCAAACUGCUCCAUGCCGACUGCCAUUGUCGGAGGAGGAGGAGGAGCCUGGGAAACUGAAGAUGAGACUAGAUCUUGUGGAGCUCGCUGAGAUCUGGCCACGGAGGUUGUGGAUCACCUGGUGGAUGCCUUUCAGGGAGGCAUCAGGUGGAGAUCUAGUAGGAGAAGGAGAAGAGGAUGUCGGAGAAGAUGAUCGGAGACAGUCCCGUUGAGCACUCCUUUAAGAACAAGGGUACUGUGAAGACACAGGCCCUUCCUCUAGCACCAAUUCUGUUGGUGCAAAAUUCUAUCGAAGUCGAAGAAGCUG